rnacentral:rRNA from 1 species
UACAGAGGUCCCAAGCGUUGUUCGGAUUUACUGGGCGUAAAGGGUGCGUAGGUGGCGAGGUAAGUUUGAUGUGAAAUCUCCGAGCUCAACUCGGAAACGGCAUUGAAUACUAUCCCGCUUGAGGGUCGGAGGGGAGACUGGAAUUCUCGGUGUAGCAGUGAAAUGCGUAGAUAUCGAGAGGAACACCAGUGGCGAAGGCGGUUCUCUAGUACGGUACUGACGCUGAGACGCGAAAGCGUGGGGAGCGAACAGG